UACGGAGGGUGCAAGCGUUAAUCGGAAUUACUGGGCGUAAAGCGUGCGCAGGCGGUUUGUUAAGUCUGCUGUGAAAUCCCCGAGCUCAACUUGGGAAUUGCAGUGGAUACUGGCAGGCUGGAGUAUGGUAGAGGAAGGUGGAAUUCCCGGUGUAGCGGUGAAAUGCGUAGAGAUCGGGAGGAACACCGGCGGCGAAGGCGGCUGCCUGGACCAGUCCUGACGCUGAGGCGCGAAAGCUAGGGGAGCAAACAGG
rnacentral:rRNA from 1 species